ACCCUUAAUGGACACACCAUUAAUGAACACUUUGAUUCUCAUGUUUGGCUUAGUUUUUCAUAUUCAUCAACAGUGAAAGAGAUUUUAAGUAAUAUCCUAGCAGGGUUUCUCAAAGACAUGAGAAGGAGAUGGAAGAUAAAAAACUACAAGAAAUGCUCCACAUGAAUUUAGGUGAUAAGAAGUGCAUUGCAAUGUUGGAUGAUGCAUGGGAUGAAGAAGUGUGGAAAGUGGUCGAUUAUUCAUUUCCAGCUUUAAGGAAUGCAAAGGGGAUGUCUCUUCACCAAUUUAUGAGUUAAGAAUAUGAUGCAUAAUCCUACUCUGCAAGGAAGCAUUUUGGAUGGCAGAUGGAGACACUUCUCCUUCAGACAUGAAACAAGAAGCAAGACUCCUUGUUUAAGAUUGUCAUAGUAUUCCCUAAGGGUGGUAUGAUGUCUAAACAACCCCGAACAAUAUCUACUUCGGCAAAUGCCCACCAUGAAGCAGUGAGAGCUGUCUUGGCACUAAACUUUAUGGGUGUGUCGCCUCUCCAAGGUUUGAGCCACAACGCUCCGGCAGUAUAAAAACUCACUUCAGUAGUGCAAAGACAUGCUCCAACAAUGAAGUAUCUAGAGCCACAGCGCUCCAACAAUGGAAGACCGCGCUCCAGUAGUUUAAACAAGCGUUCUGGCAUUUUGAAUGUAUGCUCCAGCAAUGCAAGUCUGAGCCACAGCGCUCCAGCAUUAUAGAACGCACUCCGGCAGUGCAAAUACGUGCUUCAGCAGGCUGAUAAUGGGCCUGGGCGGCAGGCGGGCGUUUGGAUCUGGUCUAGACGACACGGCUGGUCGACCUGGACCGGUGGGUGAUCGAUCGGUUCUGAGUUUUUAAACACUGAGUUAAGCUAUCAUUCCCCUGACUCUUUCUUAUACUCAGUCCAUGUAUGCCAAGUGAAUAAUCUUAUAUUCUUAUAC